GAAAAGCAGGGGAUCGCAAGACCUUGCGCUUUUGGAGCGGCCGAUGUCUGAUUAGCUAGUUGGUGAGGUAAAGGCUUACCAAGGCUUCGAUCAGUAGCUGGUCUGAGAGGACGACCAGCCACACUGGGACUGAGACACGGCCCAGACUCCUACGGGAGGCAGCAGUGGGGAAUUUUGGACAAUGGGGGAAACCCUGAUCCAGCCAUGCCGCGUGAGUGAAGAAGGCCUUCGGGUUGUAAAGCUCUUUCAGCCGGAACGAAACGGUCACGGCUAAUACCCGUGAUCACUGACGGUACCGGAAGAAGAAGCACCGGCUAACUACGUGCCAGCAGCCGCGGUAAUACGUAGGGUGCGAGCGUUAAUCGGAAUUACUGGGCGUAAAGCGUGCGCAGGCGGUUUUGUAAGUCAGAUGUGAAAUCCCCGGGCUCAACCUGGGAACUGCGUUUGAAACUACAAGG
rnacentral:rRNA from 1 species